UAAUACGUAGGUGGCGAGCGUUGUCCGGAUUUACUGGGUGUAAAGGGCGUGCAGGCGGGAAUGCAAGUCAGGCGUGAAAACUAUGGGCUCAACCCAUAGCCUGCGUUUGAAACUGUAUUUCUUGAGUGAUGGAGAGGCAGGCGGAAUUCCUCGUGUAGCGGUGAAAUGCAUAGAUAUGAGGAGGAACACCAGUGGCGAAGGCGGCCUGCUGGACAUUAACUGACGCUGAGGCGCGAAAGCGUGGGGAGCAAACAGG
rnacentral:rRNA from 1 species